rnacentral:rRNA from 1 species
CAGCCGUAAACAAUGUGCGUUAGGUGUGUCGGUAACCACGUGUUACUGAUGCGCCGAAGAGAAAUCGUGAAACGCACCACCUGGGAAGUACGGUCGCAAGGCUGAAACUUAAAGGAAUUGGCGGGGGAGCACCACAACAGGUGGAGCCUGCGGUUUAAUUGGAUUCAACGCCGGACAUCUCACCGGAUAAGACAGCUGAAUGAUUGCCGGGCUGAAGACUCUGCAUGACUAGCUGAGAGGUGGUGCAUGGCGUAGACGUCU